rnacentral:rRNA from 1 species
AGCAGCCGCGGUAAUUCCAGCUCCAAUAGCGUAUAUUAAAGUUGUUGCAGUUAAAAAGCUCGUAGUUGAAUUUCGGGGUCAGCAAGUUGGUCGUGCCACUGGUAUGUACUGGCUUUGCUGAUUCCUCCUCCUUGUAGAACCGUAAUGCCAUUUAGUUGGUGUUGCGGGGAAACAGGACUGUUACUUUGAGAAAAUUAGAGUAUUUAAAGCAGGCUAACGCUUGAAUACAUUAGCAUGGAAUAAUGAAAUAGGACGUUCGAUCUUAUUUUGUUGGUUUCUAAGAUUGACGUAAUGAUUAAUAGGGAUAGUUGGGGGCAUUAGUAUUCAAUUGCCAGAGGUGAAAUUCUUGGAUUUAUUGAGGACUAACUACUGCGAAAGCAUUUGCCAAGGAUGUUUUCAUUAAUAAAGAACGAAAGUUAGGGGAUCGAAGACGAUCAGAUACCGUCGUAGUCUUAACCAUAAACUAUGCCGACUAGGGA